GACGAACGCUGGCGGCGUGCUUAACACAUGCAAGUCGAACGGAAAGGCCCCUUUGGGGGUCCUCGAGUGGCGUACGGGUGAGUAACCUGUGCGUAACCUGCCCUUGACUUCGGGAUAACUUCGCGAAACUGGGGCAAAUUCCGCAUAGGAAUCCUUGCUCCCUGGUGGGUGUUGGCAAGCUUCGGCGGCUUUGUAUGGACUCGCGGCCCAUCAGCUUGUUGGAGGGGUAGUGGUUUACCAAGGCUUUGCCGGGGAGCUGGCCCGGGAGGGCGACCAGCAACAGUGGGACUGAGAUACGGACCAGACUCCGACGGGGGGCAGAGGUGGGGAAGAUUGCACAAGGAGCGGAAGCCUGAGGCAGCAACGCCGCGGGCGGGAGAGCGGCCUUCGGGUUAGAAACCGCUUGCAGCAGGGGCGAAGCUGGUGGUGACGGUACCUGGAGAAGAAGCACCGGCUAACUACGUG
rnacentral:rRNA from 1 species